rnacentral:tRNA from 1 species
GGCCGGAUGGUGUAGUUGGUUAUCACGUCAGUCUAACAUUUCAACCUUGAGUGUUCACUGAAGGUCGGGAGAUCGAGCCUCCCUCUGGUCA